UUUUUUGUUUUUUUAGGAGAAUAAUGAAGGGAAAUUUAAUGUUGAGGAUUGUUGGAGGGAGUCGUACAGUUAACUAAUUUAGAGAAUGAUCAUGAAUUUAUAAAUAAAGUCACGAGAGCUUGUACUUAAAGUAGACAAUAUCAUACUAGUGUAAAGAGUAAAGAGUCGUGGUUCUUAUACUACCCCUUGUUGGUCCCGAGGGACGGAGGAGGCUAGGUUAGCCAAAAGAUGGUUAUCGAUUCAAGGACGCAAGGUGUCCUCUUUUUUCAAGGUAAGAAGGGGUAGAGAUAAUACCUCGAGCCAAUGUUCGAGUACCAGGCUCUACGACGCUAAAGCAAAAGGGUACCUGUACCCGAAACCGACACAGGUGGGUAGGUAGAGAAUACCUAGGGGCACGAGACAACUCUCUCUCAGGAACUCUGCAAAAUAGUCCCGUAACUUCGAGAGAAGAGGUGCCUCCUUACAAAGGGGGUCGUAGUGACCAGGCCCGGGCGAGAAGGGGUGCCUCCUCACAAAA